GACGAACCGUCCAAACGUUAUUCGGAAUUACUGGGCUUUAAAGGGUGCGUAGGCGGCGCGGUAAGUUGGGUGUGAAAUCCCUCGGCUACAACCGAGGAAUUGCGCUCGAUAACUGCCGUGCUCGAGGGAGACAGAGGUGAGCGGAACUUAGGGUGGAGCGGUGAAAUGCGGUUGAUAUCCUAAAGGAACACCAGUGGCGAAAGCGGCUCACGUGGGUCUC
rnacentral:rRNA from 1 species